CACCCCCUUCACCUUACUAUUACAAUUCACCACCACCUCCGCCCCCAAAUUCGCCUCCUCCUCCACCAGUAUACAUAUACUCAUCACCUCCGCCACCAAAUUCACCUCCUCCUCCACCGCCAACAUACGUAUAUUCUUCACCUCCUCCACCUCCUUCCCCAUUGCCUUGUAUAGAACCCCCUCCACCACCUCCUCCUUGCAUUGAACCACCCCCACCCCCCUCCCCUUCACCAUCUCCUCCUCCACCACCGGUUUAUCAUUACAAUUCUCCGCCCCCACCAUCUCCAUCACCUCCACCACCAGUUUAUUAUCAUUACAAUUCUCCGCCCCCACCAUCUCCAUCACCUCCACCACCAGUUUAUUAUUACAAUUCUCCACCACCACCAUCACCACCGCCUACUCCAGUAUACGAAGGGCCAUUACCACCAGUAAUAGGAGUUCAAUAUGCUUCACCACCUCCACCACCCUUUUAUUAAUUCUUUCAGAAAUUUCACUAACUCUUAUCCUCAGAGCACAAAAUAGUUCCUACAAUUAUUAUUUC
rnacentral:lncRNA from 1 species